CGAUACCCGAGUAGCUUGCUAUUCGGGAAGAGUGGCGAACGGGUGAGUAAUACGUGGGUAAUCUCCCCUCGAGUGAGGAAUAAUCUCGCGAAAGCGGGACUAAUACCGCAUAAUACUCUGGAGCAUAAGCUUUCAGAUUCAAAGCCUUCGGGCGCUUGAGGAUGAGCCUUCGGCCUAUUAGCUAGUUGGUAGGGUAAUGGCCUACCAAGGUUAUGAUGGGUAGCCGGCCUGAGAGGGUGUACGGCCACACUGGGACUGAGACACGGCCCAGACUCCUACGGGAGGCAGCAGUGGGGAAUAUUGCGCAAUGGGCGAAAGCCUGACGCAGCGACGCCGCGUGGAGGAUGACGGCCUUCGGGUUGUAAACUCCUGUCAGAAGAGAAGAAAACCCGAGUAAUCGGGCUUGACGGUAUCUUCAGAGGAAGCCCCGGCUAACUACGUGCCAGCAGCCGCGGUAAUACGUAGGGGGCAAACGUUGCUCGGAAUUACUGGGCGUAAAGGGUGUGUAGGUGGCUGAGUAAGUCAAAGAUGAAAUCCCUGGGCUCAACCUAGGAAUUGUUUUUGAAACUGCUCAGCUUGAGGAUAGUUGAGGUAAAUGGAAUUCCCGGUGGAGCGGUGAAAUGCGUAGAUAUCGGGAGGAACACCAGAGGCGAAGGCGGUUUUCUGAGCUAUUCCUGACACUGAGACACGAAAGCUAGGGGAGCAAACGGGAUUAGAUACCCCGGUAGUCCUAGCCGUAAACGAUGGGUACUAGAUGUU
rnacentral:rRNA from 1 species